rnacentral:rRNA from 1 species
GAUGAACGCUAGCGGCAGGCUUAAUACAUGCAAGUCGAACGGUAAGCUUGGUAGCAAUACUAAGUCAAGAGUGACGUACGGGUGCGUAACACGUAUGCAACCUACCUUGUACAGGAGGAUAGCUCGGGGAAACUCGAAUUAACCCUCCAUGAGAUAGUAGUGAGGCAUCUCACAGUUAUUAAAACUCAGGUGGUACAAGAUGGGCAUGCGUCUGAUAGUUAGUUGGCGGGGUAAGUGCCCACCAAGACGAUGAUCAGUAGGGGACCGUGAGAGGGU